rnacentral:tRNA from 1 species
GCCGAUGUGGUGGAACUGGUAGACACGCAGCGUUCAGGGCGCUGUGAGCGUAAGCUCAUGAGAGUUCGAAUCUCUCCAUCGGCA